GACGAACGCUGGCGGCGUGCUUAACACAUGCAAGUCGAGCGGUAAGGCCUCUUCGGAGGUACACGAGCGGCGAACGGGUGAGUAACACGUGAGCAACCUACCCAUCACAUCGGGAUAACCCCCGGAAACGGGAGCUAAUACCGAAUACGACCACUUCAGACAUCUGACGGUGGUGGAAAGCUCCGGCGGUGGUGGAUGGGCUCGCGGCCUAUCAGCUUGUUGGUGGGGUAACGGCCUACCAAGGCUUCGACGGGUAGCCGGCCUGAGAGGGUGACCGGCCACACUGGGACUGAGACACGGCCCAGACUCCUACGGGAGGCAGCAGUGGGGAAUAUUGGACAAUGGGCGAAAGCCUGAUCCAGCAACGCCGCGUGAGGGAUGACGGCCUUCGGGUUGUAAACCUCUUUCAGCAGGGACGAAGCGAAAGUGACGGUACCUGCAGAAGAAGCACCGGCCAACUACGUGCCAGCAGCCGCCGUAAUAC
rnacentral:rRNA from 1 species